GACGAAUGCUGGCGGCGUGCUUAACACAUGCAAGUCGAACGGAAAGGCCCCUUUGGGGGUACUCGAGUGGCGAACGGGUGAGUAACACGUGAGUAACCUGCCCUUGACUUCGGGAUAACUUCAGGAAACUGGGGCUAAUACCGGAUAGGAAUCCUUGCUGCAUGGUGGGGGUUGGAAAGCUUCGGCGGUUUUGGAUGGACUCGCGGCUUAUCAGCUUGUUGGUGGGGUAGUGGCUUACCAAGGCUUUGACGGGUAGCCGGCCUGAGAGGGCGACCGGCCACAUUGGGACUGAGAUACGGCCCAGACUCCUACGGGAGGCAGCAGUGGGGAAUAUUGCACAAUGGGCGGAAGCCGGAUGCAGCAACGCCGCGUGCGGGAUGACGGCCUUCGGGUUGUAAACCGCUUUCAGCAGGGGCGAAGCUUGUGGUGACGGUACCUGCAGAAGAAGCACCGGCUAACUACGUG
rnacentral:rRNA from 1 species